rnacentral:rRNA from 1 species
AUUGAACGCUGGCGGCAGGCCUAACACAUGCAAGUCGAACGAGUGGCGGCCGGGUGAGUAAUGUCUGGGAAACUGCCUGAUGGAGGGGGAUAACUACUGGAAACGGUAGCUAAUACCGCAUAACAACAGCUGUGCCCAGAUGGGAUUAGCUUGGUGGUGGGGUAACGGCUCACCAGGGCGACGAUCCCUAGCGGGUCUGAGAGGAGGACCAGCAAAACGGGAAGUGAGACACGGCCCAGACUCCGCCGGGUGGCAGCAGUGGGGAAUAUUGCACAAUGGGGGCAAGCCUGAUGCAGAAAUGCCGCGUGUAUGAAGAAGGCCUCCGGGUUGUAAAUUACUUUCAGCGGGGAGGCGUUACCCGCAGAAGAAGCACCGGCUAACUCCGUGCCAGCAGCCGCGGUAAUAC